rnacentral:rRNA from 1 species
GCCUUGCGCUAUCANAUGAGCCUAGGUCGGAUUAGCUAGUUGGUGAGGUAAUGGCUCACCAAGGCGACGAUCCGUAACUGGUCUGANAGGAUGAUCAGUCACACUGGAACUGAGACACGGUCCAGACUCCUACGGGAGGCAGCAGUGGGGAAUAUUGGACAAUGGGCGAAAGCCUGAUCCAGCCAUGCCGCGUGUGUGAAGAAGGUCUUCGGAUUGUAAAGCACUUUAAGUUGGGAGGAAGGGUUGUANAUUAAUACUCUGCAAUUUUGACGUUACCGACAGAAUAAGCACCGGCUAACUCUGUGCCAGCAGCCGCGGUAAUACAGAGGGUGCAAGCGUUAAUCGGAAUUACUGGGCGUAAAGCGCGCGUAGGUGGUUUGUUAAGUUGGAUGUGAAAGCCCCGGGCUCAACCUGGGAACUGCAUUCAAAACUGACAAG